rnacentral:rRNA from 1 species
UACAGAGGUGGCAAGCGUUGUUCGGAAUUACUGGGCGUAAAGGGCGCGUAGGCGGCCCGUCAAGUCCCGUGUGAAAGCCCCGGCUCAACCGGGGAACGGCGCGGGAAACUAGCAGGCUUGAGUUCGGGAGAGGGAAGCGGAAUUCCGGGUGUAGCGGUGAAAUGCGCAGAUAUCCGGAGGAACACCGGUGGCGAAGGCGGCUUCCUGGACCGACACGUGACGCUGAGGCGCGAAGACUAGGGGAGCAAACGGG